rnacentral:lncRNA from 1 species
GAUUAUUCUUUUUUCUGAAAUACAUUCGGAAAGUUUAAUCACAAUAAUCUGACAAAUGUUGUCUGGAAGGAUCGCAAUUUACAUGUAGGCAUAAAAACGCAUCCAAAAGAGUUUUUCAGAAACUUGAAUUCAGUGGAAACCUUUGAUAUAUCAGAAAAUAACAUUUGGAACGUCUCUGACCAUUUGUUAGGCCCAAUGAAAAAUCUAUCUCUUUUAAAUUUAUCAAAAAAUUUACUGUAAAGCAUUCCAAAC